AUUGAACGCUGGCGGCAGGCCUAACACAUGCAAGUCGAACGAGUGGCGGACGGGUGAGUAAUGUCUGGGAAACUGCCUGAUGGAGGGGGAUAACUACUGGAAACGGUAGCUAAUACCGCAUACCAUCGGAUGUGCCCAGAUGGGAUUAGCUAGUAGGUGGGGUAAAGGCUCACCUAGGCGACGAUCCCUAGCUGGUCUGAGAGGAUGACAAGCAACAGUGGAAUGGGGACCGGGUCCAGACUCCUAGGGGAGGGAGCGGGGGGAAAAUUUGCACAAUGGGCGAAAGCCUGAUGAAGCAAGGCCGGGUGUAUGAAGAGGGCCUUGGGUUGGUAAAGUACUUUAGGCGGGGAGACGUAACCCGCAGAAAAGGCACGGGCUAACUCCGUGCCAGCGGCCGGGGUAAUU
rnacentral:rRNA from 1 species